GCGGGGGUUCCCGAGCGGUCAAAGGGGCCGGUUAAAAUCCGGUGGCGCAGGCCUUCGCGGGUUCGAAUCCCGCCCCCCGCACCA
rnacentral:tRNA from 1 species